rnacentral:rRNA from 1 species
CUGGUUCUCCCCGAAAUAGCUUUAGGGCUAGCCUCAAGGUGAGAGAUACGGAGGUAGAGCACUGAAUGUCCUAGGGGGUAUUGCACCUACCGAAGACUAUUAAACUCCGAAUGCCGUCAUCUUAUACUUGGGAGUCAGACUGUGGGUGAUAAGAUUCAUAGUCGAAAGGGCAACAGCCCAGAUCGUCAGCUAAGGUCCCUAAAUG